rnacentral:misc_RNA from 1 species
AACGCACGAGACCUGCGGACCUGCGGAGGGAUCAUUACCGAGUUCAUGCCCUCACGGGUAGAUCUCCCACCCUUGUGUAUUCUAUGUUUGUGUUGCUUUGGCAGGCCGUGGGCCUCGCCCACCACCGGCUCUCGGGCUGGUGUGCGCCUGCCAGAGGACUCUUUAAACUCUGUUUGUUAGUGUCGUCUGAGUAUGAUAACAAUCGUUAAAACUUUUAACAACGGAUCUCUAGAUCGGAAG